UACGUAGGGUGCGAGCGUUGUCCGGAAUUAUUGGGCGUAAAGAGCUUGUAGGCGGUUUGUCGCGUCUGCUGUGAAAAUCCGGGGCUCAACCCCGGACUUGCAGUGGGUACGGGCAGACUAGAGUGUGGUAGGGGAGACUGGAAUUCCUGGUGUAGCGGUGGAAUGCGCAGAUAUCAGGAGGAACACCGAUGGCGAAGGCAGGUCUCUGGGCAUUAACUGACGCUGAGGAGCGAAAGCAUGGGGAGCGAAACAGG
rnacentral:rRNA from 1 species